UGGGUUUCUUUUGCUGCAGGUUUGGAUUUUUAUUUUCAACCCAGAAGAGAACAUUUGUGGUUUUUUUCCAUUGAAAAUUUGCAGGGAAAUGGAAUUAAUAAUUGAUCUAUAACUGCUGAAGCACCCUGUUGUGAUACCAUGUGGUAUGUGUGUGUGUGUGUUGUUUAAACUUUGUCAUGCAUAGUUUGUGCAUGUGGGUUGGCUAUUGUCUUAUUCUACAAUUUUUAGUUACCAUUUCACAUCAACCUUCUAAAAAUUUUGUACAAUGUUGGUGGUGAACAUUGAUUCAUGCAUGUAUAAAUCAAACAAGUUACUUGAGUCUUGAAGUUAAUGAAUUCUGGUAUCUUCCCCUUGGGCAUUUUUCUUUUCCUGAAAGGGAUGGCAUUCUGUUUCAUUUAACCAUAUUUUUAUUAUAGAAUUUACUGCUAAGUUGAAUAAUGAUGUCACAUGUCAAUCAGUAUGUUUGAAGUAUGACUCAUUAACAUGUAAAAACGUUUUUGUCUGCAUCAUUCUCAUAUAUAAAUUCCUAAUAUUAUCCAAGAAUAGUACUAAUAUUUAGGUAUUAGUAUAUUGUUUUAUUUGGUAAAUUAAGUUGUUUCGGGAUUCCUAAUCCUAGUAGGAAUAAAAAUUUUGAGAAUUAGUAUCUAUAGAGAAUUUGCUUCUCUUGAUCCUUUUUGGUUUUCUUCUUGUUGCACAUCAAGGUGUACAUUAUGAUAUGGUAAAAAAAAUUCUCAAGUCGCACUCAGCUUUCAGUCUAGAAUUGUGCUUACUUCAUGUGGGCAUGCUUACUGCUAAAAUCACAUUAUUAUAUCCCUAGCAGCCGCUCUCUACAUAGAUAAGCAAUUGGUGAUGGCUUUGCUCCACACUUGGAUUCUCAUUGUAUUUGAAUAUUAUGUGAACAUAGUGUCAGCAUAAAAAUUUGUGGAGAAGUGGUAAAUUUUUAACCAUUUGUAUACAUGCAUAUUAAAUGUUAUCUGAUUCUAGCUUU
rnacentral:misc_RNA from 1 species